GAUGAACGCUGGCGGCGUGCUUAACACAUGCAAGUCGAACGGAAAGGCCCAAGCUUGCUUGGGUACUCGAGUGGCGAACGGGUGAGUAACACGUGGGUGAUCUGCCCUGCACUUCGGGAUAAGCCUGGGAAACUGGGUCUAAUACCGGAUAGGACCACAUUUUGGAUGGUGUGGUGGAAAGUUUUUCGGUGUGGGAUGAGCUCGCGGCCUAUCAGCUUGUUGGUGGGGUAAUGGCCUACCAAGGCGUCGACGGGUAGCCGGCCUGAGAGGGUGUACGGCCACAUUGGGACUGAGAUACGGCCCAGACUCCUACGGGAGGCAGCAGUGGGGAAUAUUGCACAAAGGGCGCAAGCCUGAUGCAGCGACGCCGCGUGGGGGAUGACGGCCUUCGGGUUGUAAACUCCUUUCGCUAGGGACGAAGCGUUAUGUGACGGUACCUGGAGAAGAAGCACCGGCUAACUACGUG
rnacentral:rRNA from 1 species